CUCAGGUAAUGUAAAUAAGCAUGGAUGACCAAUGUCUCUCUUAUAAAAGAAGUAAAAGUUUCUCAAAUUGAUUACCUUCAGUAGCUUCUCAGGAGAUCUACAUUUCAAUCAGCUGAUGAAACAGAUGUGGGAGGAUUGUCAUGAGCUCUGCUUCUGAAAUCUUAGAGAAGCAACUACAGGUUACUGGGUGGAAAAGCAGUCAUCUUUUUAAAAUAUACAUCCCAUAAUGAGAAGGUAUUCCCUUGCUUUUAGUAGUUUUAUACAAACUUUGAACUUAGACAAAUUCCAAAUGUUCUUCUGUUAUUUGCUUAAUGAUUUCUGAUUUUUAAAGACAGACCAGCUUUUCUUAUGACAUAUUUUUAGACAGGUCCAAGUAAAAACAAAGAUAAAUAAACAAACACCCAGACCCCAAUCUUGUUCUCCCUGGAAUCCCGGGUACUAACAUUUAUUUUAAAGUGUGUCACAAUCUCAACUCCUUUAUCUCCUUUAUUAAUGAGGAUCGUUCCUUAGGCAGUCUGUCCAGGAGUGGGAAAUGCAAAUUACUGUUUUGGAAUUAAACUCAUUUCCUGCUCUUUGGUCAUAAUGAACGUAAUAUCUUUCCUUUAAUGUAUUCUGCUCCAUAGAUCAACUGUUACCUUGGUGUGUUCCAUAUGACUGCAGGCCCUUUUCCAUUAUCAGUUUUCUUUAGAGCACUGCAGAACUAUAAAUUAAAAUUGAUCGUGUAAUACAGAUAUCAGUGGGCUUUUGCAGCAUUCCUGACAUACACUUACCAUCAUCUUUUGAUAGUUACUGUGUAUGAAGGCUUAAAUAAGGAUACAGUUCUGCACUUAGCAGACCCUGUUUUAUUCCUAAGUUAGUAUUGCAGUCAUAUGUGGUAAACGAUGACUGACGGUGUUUCAUUAAAAUGAGGCAGCCACUCUUCAGCAUGCUGAAUAAGGUCUUUAAUGG